UACGGAGGGUGCAAGCGUUGUCCGGAUUUAUUGGGGUUAAAGGGUGCGUAGGCGGCCCGGUAAGUCAGUGGUGAAAGCCUCCAGCUCAACUGGAGAACUGCCAUUGAUACUGCCGGGCUUGAGUACAGACGAGGUUGGCGGAAUUGAUUGUGUAGCGGUGAAAUGCAUAGAUACAAUCAAGAACUCCGAUUGCGUAGGCAGCUAACUAGGCUGUAACUGACGCUGAGGCACGAAAGCGUGGGGAGCGAACAGG
rnacentral:rRNA from 1 species